rnacentral:tRNA from 2 species
AAGAUUAUGCGGGAAUAGCUCAGUUGGUAGAGCACGACCUUGCCAAGGUCGGGGUCGCGAGUUCGAGUCUCGU